rnacentral:rRNA from 1 species
GACGAACGCUGGCGGCGUGCUUAACACAUGCAAGUCGAGCGGUAAGGCCCUUUCGGGGGUACACGAGCGGCGAACGGGUGAGUAACACGUGGGUGACCUGCCUUUAGCUCUGGGAUAAGCCUGGGAAACCGGGUCUAAUACCGGAUAUGACUCCGCGGCGCAUGUUGUGGGGUGGAAAGCCUUGUGCGGCUGGAGAUGGGCCCGCGGCCUAUCAGCUUGUUGGUGGGGUGAUGGCCUACCAAGGCGACGACGGGUAGCCGGCCUGAGAGGGCGACCGGCCACACUGGGACCGAGACACGGCCCAGACUCCUACGGGAGGCAGCAGUGGGGAAUCUUGCGCAAUGGGCGAAAGCCUGACGCAGCGACGCCGCGUGAGGAUGACGGCC